GCUAGAAACUAGGACACCAGGAAUCAAGUACACAUAAAAAUAUUGCAAUCAUCAGUAAUUUCAAAGGAGCAACAAAAAAAAUUCAAAGAUAGACAACAUUUAUCUUGAAAAGCUGCCUAACAAAAAUUUGACUCAUCCAGCUAAUAAGCUUAUUUACUAAACAAGCGGGCUCAAGUGCAGCAUAUAAAAUGAGUUGGAUUCAGGAUAUAUGAGAAAGCAAAUUUAGUUCCUCUGGGUCUAUAACAUAGAACCCUUAUAGGCAGGUGACGCUAAAGUAAGUCUUAACUGCUAUGGGCUUGUUUUAUGUGGAAUGGUCGAGCAGAAGCCAAGUUCUCAAAAACCAGAAGAACUGUCCCCAUAAGGAAAAUUAGCAUAAGCUUUUUGUCCCUCCUUCACAGUCAGUAGUAAUGUUUAGUGAAAACUAUACGUCUUUCAGACAGCCAGUAAUAACAAAGAGAUAGAAAGUACGCACUAAUACUACGAGAUGAACCACAGAAUAUAUAUA
rnacentral:misc_RNA from 1 species